rnacentral:rRNA from 1 species
CCCGAAGUAUCCUGAAUCUUUCGCAUUGUUAAUCAUACAAGUGCAUAUAAUAAACACAAAAANUCAAUGAUAAUCAUGCCAUUAUAUAAUUCCGAAAAAUUAACGCACUGUAAUCAUAUAAAUCUAUCAGCACUUUAUCAAAUUUAUACCUUUUAUUCUGUGUUAAAAUGCAAGCACUUUAAUUGAAAUAAACUUAAUGCAUAAUUUUAUGAUAAAUUAUAUAUGCUAAUAGAUUACAAUGUCCUUAUAUGGAAAAAAUG